rnacentral:rRNA from 1 species
UCGUGUCGUGAGUAUGUUGGGUUAAGUCCGUAACGAGCGCAACCCUUGUCCUUAGUUACCAGCACGUUAUGGUGGGCGACUCUAAGGAGACUGCCGGUGACAAACCGGAGGAAGGUGGGGAUGACGUCAAGUCAUCAUGGCCCUUACGGCCUGGGCUACACACGUGCUACAAUGGUCGGUACAAAGGGUUGCCAAGCCGCGAGGUGGAGCUAAUCCCAUAAAACCGAUCGUAGUCCGGAUCGCAGUCUGCAACUCGACUGCGUGAAGUCGGAAUCGCUAGUAAUCGUGAAUCAGAAUGUCACGGUGAAUACGUUCCCGGGCCUU